rnacentral:rRNA from 1 species
GAAUUCACUAGUGAUUCAGGCCUAACACAUGCAAGUCGAACGAUGAACCCGGAGCUUGCUCCGGCGGAUUAGUGGCGAACGGGUGAGUAACACGUGAGUAACCUGCCCUUGACUCUGGGAUAACUGCGGGAAACUGUAGCUAAUACCGGAUACGACCCUCGGUGGCAUCACCAGGGGGUGGAAAGAAUUUCGGUCAAGGAUGGACUCGCGGCCUAUCAGCUAGUUGGUGAGGUAACGGCUCACCAAGGCGACGACGGGUAGCCGGCCUGAGAGGGUGACCGGCCACACUGGGACUGAGACACGGCCCAGACUCCUACGGGAGGCAGCAGUGGGGAAUAUUGCACAAUGGGCGCAAGCCUGAUGCAGCAACGCCGCGUGAGGGAUGACAGCGUUCGGGUUGUAAACCUCUUUUAGUAGGGAAGAAGCGAAAGUGAC